UACGGAGGGGACUAGCGUUGUUCGGAAUUACUGGGCGUAAAGCGCACGUAGGCGGAUUUGUAAGUCAGGGGUGAAAUCCCGGGGCUCAACCCCGGAACUGCCUUUGAUACUGCGAAUCUCGAGUCCGGAAGAGGUGAGUGGAGUUCCUAGUGUAGAGGUGAAAUUCGUAGAUAUUAGGAAGAACACCAGUGGCGAAGGCGGCUCACUGGUCCGGUACUGACGCUGAGGUGCGAAAGCGUGGGGAGCAAACAGG
rnacentral:rRNA from 1 species